GUGGCGAACGGGUGAGUAAGACAUCGGAACGUGUCCUGGAGUGGGGGAUAGCCCGGCGAAAGCCGGAUUAAUACCGCAUACGAUCUGUGGAUGAAAGCGGGGGACCGAAAGGCCUCGCGCUCAAGGGGCGGCCGAUGGCAGAUUAGCUAGUUGGUGGGGUAAAGGCCUACCAAGGCGACGAUCUGUAGCUGGUCUGAGAGGACGACCAGCCACACUGGGACUGAUACACGGCCCAGACUCCUACGGGAGGCAGCAGUGGGGAAUUUUGGACAAUGGGGGCAACCCUGAUCCAGCAAUGCCGCGUGUGUGAAGAAGGCCUUCGGGUUGUAAAGCACUUUUGUCCGGAAAGAAAACUUCGGGGCUAAUACCUCUGGAGGAUGACGGUACCGGAAGAAUA
rnacentral:rRNA from 1 species